rfam:Vibrio cincinnatiensis DSM 19608 genome assembly, contig: BS67DRAFT_scaffold00001.1
CUGAAUGGGUGGCGUAUCUGGGUUAAUGCCUGGCGGGCUCAUGUGUACUUUUAGUUAAGCAACGCAUUGAUAAAGCCCGCUCCCACAGCGGGCUUUUUGUU